GGCCUAGAAACAGUCUCUAGGUAGGAUUUGGGGAGGAGCUAAGAAGCCCCUACAGGGCCCAGGGGUGGGGACUGAGCCUUAGUUGG
ensembl:miRNA